rnacentral:rRNA from 1 species
UGGAUCCAGACUUUGAUCAUGGCUCAGGAUGAACGCUAGCUACAGGCUUAACACAUGCAAGUCGAGGGGAAACGACAUCGAAAGCUUGCUUUUGAUGGGCGUCGACCGGCGCACGGGUGAGUAACGCGUAUCCAACCUGCCCACCACUUGGGGAUAACCUUGCGAAAGUAAGACUAAUACCCAAUGAUAUCUCUAGAAGACAUCUGAAAGAGAUUAAAGAUUUAUCGGUGAUGGAUGGGGAUGCGUCUGAUUAGCUUGUUGGCGGGGUAACGGCCCACCAAGGCAACGAUCAGUAGGGGUUCUGAGAGGAAGGUCCCCCACAUUGGAACUGAGACACGGUCCAAACUCCUACGGGAGGCAGCAGUGAGGAAUAUUGGUCAAUGGACGAGAGUCUGAACCAGCCAAGUAGCGUGCAGGAUGACGGCCCUAUGGGUUGUAAACUGCUUUUAUAAGGGAAUAAAGUGAGUCUCGUGAGACUUUUUGCAUGUACCUUAUGAAUAAGGACCGGCUAAUUCCGUGCCAGCAGCCGCGGUAAUACGGAAGGUCCGGGCGUUAUCCGGAUUUAUUGGGUUUAAAGGGAGCGUAGGCCGGAGAUUAAGCGUGUUGUGAAAUGUAGACGCUCAACGUCUGCACUGCAGCGCGAACUGGUUUCCUUGAGUACGCACAAAGUGGGCGGAAUUCGUGGUGUAGCGGUGAAAUGCUUAGAUAUCACGAAGAACUCCGAUUGCGAAGGCAGCUCACUGGAGCGCAACUGACGCUGAAGCUCGAAAGUGCGGGUAUCGAACAGGAUUAGAUACCCUGGUAGUCCGCACGGUAAACGAUGGAUGCCCGCUGUUGGUCUGAAUAGGUCAGCGGCCAAGCGAAAGCAUUAAGCAUCCCACCUGGGGAGUACGCCGGCAACGGUGCAAACUCAAAUGAAUUGACGGAAUCCCGCGGC